CCUACGGGCUGCAGCAGUGAGGAAUAUUGGUCAAUGGACGAGAGUCUGAACCAGCCAAGUAGCGUGAAGGAUGACUGCCCUAUGGGUUGUAAACUUCUUUUAUAAAGGAAUAAAACGAGGCACGUGUGCCUUUUUGCAUGUACUUUAUGAAUAAGGAUCGGCUAACUCCGUGCCAGCAGCCGCGGUAAUACGGAGGAUCCGAGCGUUAUCCGGAUUUGUUGGGUUUAAAGGGAGCGUAGAUGGGUUGUUAAGUAAGUUGUGAAAGUUUGCGGCUCAACCGUAAAAUUGCAAUUGAUACUGGCAGUCUUGAGUACAGUUGAGGUAGGCGGAAUUAGUGGGGUAGCGGUGAAAUGCUUAGAUAUCACGAAGAACCCCGAUUGCGAAGGCAGCUUACUAAACUGUGACUGACAUUGAUGCUCGAAAGUGUGGGUAUCAAACCGGAUUAGAUACCCGAGUAGUC
rnacentral:rRNA from 1 species